rnacentral:rRNA from 1 species
UACGGAGGGGGCUAGCGUUGUUCGGAAUCACUGGGCGUAAAGCGCGCGUAGGUGGUCAUAUAAGUUGGAAGUGAAAUCCCAGGGCUUAACCCUGGAAUUGCUUUCAAAACUGUGUGACUCGAGAGUGGUAGAGGGAAGUGGAAUUCUUAGUGUAGCGGUGAAAUGCUUAGAUAUUAAGAGGAACACCGGAGGCGAAGGCGGCUUCCUGGGCCAUUUCUGACACUGAGGCGCGAAAGCGUGGGGAGCAAACAGG